rnacentral:tRNA from 1 species
GUGGGUAUAGUGCAGUGGUAGAGUGUGUGCCUAGCAUGCAUGAGGUCCUGGGUUCAAUCCCCAGUACCUCCA